AGCUGCAGCUGACGUGUUACAGUCAGAUGAGCCACAAUGGGCGCAGGUCACAACAGGUCACCACAUGCAGGUCGGAGGUCACACAGCCAGCGUCCACAACCUGACCCCUAAGAGUGGAUACCAGCUGUCUGGAGUGGAUACAGAAGUGGAUUCCUUACAGCAUCGGAACUCCCGUCAAGAUCUCGGUCACCCUCGGAGUCUCGUCACUGGAAACUUCCCGAGGAGCUGCGUCGGCGCCUCACACUCCACCUCCAAGCUGACCCAGGACUGUCCCGAGCUGAGCUGCACGACAUAACCUAUGCUAGGAUCGAACCCGCCCGCAACCUCAAGAUCAACAAUUCCAUCGAUUGCAAGGCCAGUCCUCCCAUUGAUGGUGAGAGCCCCUGCCCCCUCUCCCUGGGCCCCCACACCAGUGCCACGCUGCCCAGGCCCCCUAAGACCUGGCGGCCGUCAAGUUUUCCCUCCUGAGCUGCCGGUGUUGGUGGUGCCCAGGCUGGAACACUCCCCGCCCAGGGCUACGCCAACCUGAGGAGGCACAGCAAGACUUCUCCUGGCUUAUAAGAGGGACCAUUAAGAAACAUGAUCCCCGCUGCUGCCACCACCACCGGGUAACAUGUGCCGGCGACGAUCUGUUCACACGUCACUUGCCGCAGCGUUGAGGCGGGAUGCAGCGUGCUCUGAGGCCACCCCGGGCAGGAGGCAAGAUGUGACCUCCUGCACCAAACCUUUGACCUCUAUUCAGGAGCAAUCUCACAACUGAUGGAAGCUGGGACGGAAAGUUGCUGAAAUGUGGACUCGUCUCAGCUGGUCUCAUCUGGUCUGCCCCAGCAUUUAGGCAGCAUCUUGAAGGCCUGACUGGUCUCCUCAGCUCAGUGGUCUCGUCUCUGUCUCCUGCCCUGCAAGAGUCUGGCAGAGUUUAGUGCCAAGAGUGUGUGUGUGUGUGUGUGUGUGUGUGUGUGUGUGUGUGUGUGUGUGUGUGUGUGUG